GGCGGCCAGGUCAACAAAGAGGCCUGUGAAGUGGGCAAAGUCGGAGAAGGAGGGCGCCUCGGAGGAGGCGUGGCCACGGGAGACGGGGGUCACAUACCUCUUCGUGUUCCAGAGGUCAGAGUAUUCCUUUUGGGCGUCUCUGGUGCUUUACCUCGGACCGCAGGUUCCUUAGUCGGAGGUUGGAGUCUCUUCUGGACAACAGGGCCUGGUCUGGGCACAGGAAGACCAGCUGUUAGCAUUCCCAAUUUCAUGUUUCCCCAUCUGUGAAAUAGAAUUGCUUGCCUUUCUGUAACCCAACCAAUAAUGGCUUUUGCCAUUUUGUGUCCGUUAUCUACAAGUGUUCCUGAGCUGUCUCAUAUGUAAUAUUUGUGUGUAUGUGUGUGCACAGCUGUACUCACACACAUGCACAUGUGGAGACCAGAGAUAAACACUGACAUCUAGCUGGA